UACGGAAGCAGCAGUGGGGAAUAUUGCACAAUGGGCGCAAGCCUGAUGCAGCCAUGCCGCGUGUAUGAAGAAGGCCUUCGGGUUGUAAAGUACUUUCAGUCGUGAGGAAGGUGUUAAGGUUAAUAACCUUAGCAAUUGACGUUAGCGACAGAAGAAGCACCGGCUAACUCCGUGCCAGCAGCCGCGGUAAUACGGAGGGUGCGAGCGUUAAUCGGAAUUACUGGGCGUAAAGGGCACGCAGGCGGUUAAUUAAGUUGGAUGUGAAAUCCCCGGGCUUAACCUGGGAAUGGCAUUCAAGACUGGUUAGCUAGAGUCUUGUAGAGGGGGUAGAAUUCCAUGUGUAGCGGUGAAAUGCGUAGAGAUGUGGAGGAAUACCGGUGGCGAAGGCGGCCCCUGGACAAAGACUGACGCUCAUGUGCGAAAGCGUGGGGAGCAAACAGGGAUUAGAUACC
rnacentral:rRNA from 1 species